AGCUUUGUGCAGCUGCAGUAUCGUAGCCAGUAAGGUUUAUCCAAGGUGGGAUUAUUGCUAAUCAAAAACUUUUCCCAAUACCCCAUCAUGAUGACUUGGAAUACAGUCAGCAUUGGCAGUUUUUGACAGUUUCAAUGGAGUCUGAAA
ensembl:snRNA U4 U4 spliceosomal RNA